rnacentral:rRNA from 1 species
UGGGGAAUUUUGCACAAUGGGGGAAACCCUGAUGCAGCGACGCCGCGUGAUUUAGAAGGCCUUCGGGUUGUAAAAAUCUUUUCUAUGGGAAGAAAAUGACAGUACCAUAGGAAUAAGGACCGGCUAAUUACGUGCCAGCAGCCGCGGUAAUACGUAAGGUCCGAGCGUUGUCCGGAAUCAUUGGGCGCAAAGGGUACGUAGGCGGGUAAGCAAGUUAGAAGUGAAAUCCUAUAGCUCAACUAUAGUAAGCUUUUAAAACUGCUCAUCUUGAGGUAUGGAAGGGAAAGUGGAAUUCCUAGUGUAGCGGUGAAAUGCGCAGAUAUUAGGAGGAAUACCGGUGGCGAAGGCGACUUUCUGGCCAUAACCUGACGCUGAGGUACGAAAGCGUGGGUAGCAAACAGG